GAAAUCAACCGAGAUUCCGCUAGUAGUGGCGAGCGAACGCGGAAGAGGCCAAACCAAGAGUAGUAAUACUUUUGGGGUUCGGACUGAGUACGGUAUUGACAAGAGUUAGUAGAAUGGAAUGGGAAGUUCAACCAUAGAGUGUGAGAGUCACGUAUACGAAAACUUGAGUCAGCCAUCAGUAUCCAGAGUACCGCCGGACACGUGAAACCCGGUGGGAAUACGGGGGGACCACCCUCCAAGCCUAAAUACUCACCAAUGACCGAUAGUGUAUAGUACUGUGAAGGAAAGGUGAAAAGAACCCCUGGCGGGGAGUGAAAAAGAACCUGAAACCUUGUGCCUACAAGCACAUAGAGCACGUCAACGUGUGAUAUGGUACCUUUUGUAGAAUGGUCCGGCGAGUGAAUGUCACUAGCGAGGUUAAGAACUUAAGGUUUGCAGCCGAAGCGAAAGCGAGUCUUAAUAGGGCGAGUUUAGUUAGUGGUAUUCGACCCGAAACCGAGUGACCUAGCCAUGAGCAGGCUGAAGUGGAGGUAAAACUCCAUGGAGGGCCGAACCCACUCCCGUUGAAAUGGUAGGGGAUGACUUGUGGCUAGCGGAGAAAUUCCAAUCGAACUCGGAGAUAGCUGGUUCUCUCCGAAAUAGCUUUAGGGCUAGCCUCAAUUAACAUUACCGCAGGUAAAGCACUGAAUGGGCUAGGGGGCGAAAGCUUACUGAACCCUAUCAAACUCAGAAUGGCGGAUAAUGAAUAAUUGGGAGUCACACUACGUGAGAUAAGUUUCGUGGUGGAAAGGGAAACAGCCCAGACCCACAGCUAAGGUCCCAAAGUACAGUUAAGUGGAAAAGGAUGUGAAGUUGCGCAGACAACCAGGAUGUUGGCUCAGAAGCAGCCACUCAUUCAAAGAGUGCGUAAUAGCUCACUGGUCGAGUGAUUUUGCGCCGAAAAUUUAACGGGGCUAAACUGUACACCGAAGCUUGGGAAUAUACCUUAUGGUAUGUUGGUAGGAGAGCGUCGUAUGCGGGGUGAAGUCGUAGCGAAAGCGGCGGUGGACUGCAUAGGAGUGAGAAUGCCGGAAUGAGUAGCGAGAAUUAUGUGAGAAUCAUAAUGGCCGAAAGACUAAGGUUUUAGAAGGAAGGUUCGUCCGCUUCUAGUUAGCCGGGAGCUAAGGCGAGGCCGAAAGGCGUAGUCGAUGCACAUACGGUUGAGAUUCCGUAGCCACCUUAAAUUUAAACUAAGGGACACAUUGAAAGGGAAUAACCCAGGCGUUGGUUGACCUGGGCGUAAGGGAACGAAAAUAAGUAGUGAAGUAUUCUUGGACAGUGGCGAGAAAAGCUUAGUGUAUAUUAUUAGGGUGCCCGUACUGCAAACCGACACAGGUAGUCAGGAAGAGAAUUCUAAGGCCAUCGGGAGAAGCGUUGUUAAGGAACUCGGCAAAUUGACCCCGUAACUUCGGAAUAAGGGGUGCUCACGAGAGUGAGCCGCAGUGAAUAGGUCCAGGCAACUGUUUAUCAAAAACACAGCUCUCUGCUAAAUCGUAAGAUGACGUAUAGGGGGUGACACCUGCCCGGUGCUGGAAGGUUAAGAGGAGGAGUGCAAGCCCCGAAUCGAAGCCCCAGUAAACGGCGGCCGUAACUAUAACGGUCCUAAGGUAGCGAAAUUCCUUGUCGGGUAAGUUCCGACCCGCACGAAUGGUGUAACGAUCUGGACACUGUCUCAACUGCCCACCCGGCGAAAUUGUAGUACCGGUGAAGAUGCCGGUUACCCGCGGCAAGACGGAAAGACCCCAUGGAGCUUUACUGUAACUUAAUAUUGGGUCUCGGUACUUUAUGUACAGGAUAGGCGGGAGACUUGGAAACUAGCACGCCAGUGUUAGCGGAGUCAUCCUUGGGAUACCGCUCUUAAGGUAUUGAGAUUCUAACCUGCAGCCUUGAAUCAGGUUGGGGGACAUUGUUAGGUGGGCAGUUUGACUGGGGCGGUCGCCUCCAAAAGAGUAACGGAGGCGCUCAAAGGUUCGUUCAGCACGGACGGAAAUCGUGCAUUGAGUGUAAACGCAUAAACGAGCCUAACUGCGAGACCGACGGGUCGAGCAGUAACGAAAGUUGGAGUUAGUGAUCCGGUGGUAUGUGAGUGGAAAUGCCAUCGCUCAACGGAUAAAAGUUACCCUGGGGAUAACAGGCUGAUCUCCCCCAAGAGUCCACAUCGACGGGGAGGUU
rnacentral:rRNA from 1 species